rnacentral:lncRNA from 1 species
AUGCUCACAAGCACCCCAGUGUUAGGGACAGAGAGAAAAUGCCCACCUUGGGUCUGCAGGAGACCAGAAGACCGUCAGCGUGAAACGUCUGGGCACAUUGCAAAUUUGCAGCUUCCUGUAGGGUCGCCUUGGCCCAGAAACCGCAGGAAUCUGCCCUCGCACUGCGGGGGAGAGCAAGUUUCCAGGCUCCAAGCACUUAUCACACGUCGUAUUGUGUGUCUGUCUCUGGGUGGCUUCCCUUGCGAGGUCCCACAGCGUCACAAGGCGGGGGACUCAGUUGGGGCCCAAUCCAUGCUUAAACAUGGGAUGCCAGACUCUAUCCAAAACCUCGCAGUGCCUUCCAAGUUCCAGAAUUGCCUGGCUGCUUCUACCGGCUUCCAGUCUUUCAUUCUUUCAAGUGCCAGCAAUCCAGACCAAAUCCUUCCCUGUGGCCCCAGCUCCCCCCGACCCUGCAACCCGCCUGCCCCCCUCAUGGCGCCCUUGCCUGCUUCCUCCUCUCUCUAUGCUGUACAGGGCCUUAGGCACCCCUCCCAGAACCCCGUCCCCUUCGGAGGCUGGCCCACCAUUCCUCUUUUAGAGGCAACGUGUGCUUAUGUGUUUGGCUUCUGGCUCACUGGGGACCAGAAAAACAAAAUUUAUCAUCUGACUGUCCUAUUUUUUUUUAUUUCUUUCCAUUUGUUUCCUCCUAAGAAUGAAGUAAGUAUUUUUAAGCUGUGCUCAGAGUUUCAAACAUGGCAGGCCACAGGCAAAAGCAUAUCCUCCUUCUCAGAGGGAAGGAAUGCAACCGUUAACAAUAAAAAAAAAAAAAGAAUCCCUGGGAUUUAUGAAGGCCGUCUUAUGAGCCGUCUCACAUCCGUUAGCUCGUAUGACACAGCAAUCCAGGGGGUGAAGAAGGAUUCACCAGCUCCACCUGAGAGAUGGAGAGACUGAGGUUCUAGGGGAUAUCUCCUGGGCCUGGGGUAAGCGCCCAGCUGCUGGGGCUGGUGAAAUUUCCUAGUGUUUGUAUGUGUAAACUGGGCUGAUCUGUUCAAUGUAAACAUUAAAAAUAUAUAGCGUGUUUGGUGACCCUAGCUUAGCAUCCCUUCUGUUUUCAAAUAUAGGGGUGUCAGAGGGUGGAAGUGGGAGGACCACUUUCCAUCUCUGGGGCUUGAGAAAAGUGCUCCAGAGAACUACUUUGUAAGCUGCUUGCAUUACACAAUUAAGGGCAAAAGCAUGGGAUAAAGAGUCUAAGAGCAGAAUCAGGUAUCCCUGAAAUCUUGCCUUGCUCCCAUGAACCCGAAAAAAAAAACAAAACAGACACAAACAGCCCAGGCCCACCCCUCUGGUGACACUAUUCCCG